GGGUUGCAAUGCAUCUCUCUUAUAAUUUUUUGAUUUUUCCCUCAAUAUGUUGUAUCACAAAUCACCACACCAAUCUUCUUUGUAAACGCGACAUAUGACUCAUGGCAGCUGUCUUAGAGAAGGCAAAACUGAUGGGUAAUGCAGCACUGGAUGCAGCUUUGAAUGCUCAACUUUUGGUGCAGAUUGGUGUUUUUACUGCAGUACCAAUGAUAAUGAGUUUUAUACUUGAAUUAGGACUGCUGAAGAAGAAGAAGAAGACUCAGAAAGCUACAAACAAUGAUAAUGGGAAGGCGCCUCCUUCAUCCUGGAGUAUUUCUGCUCCAGUGGGAGGUAUUUCAUAAUAAGUCCGCCAGCAUGUCACCCCAAAAACUCAACUUUUUCUCAUUUCUUUGGCUGGAGUCCGCACAUCAAAUGAACGGAAAGGAAGCAUCUCAGUGCUGCUGCAAACAUGGCCAACCAACCUAACUUUGCCCGGGAUACUUGGAAAGAUACAGAUGACUGGAAACGAUAAAGACCAGAGAUAAAUGGCCACUUCUGAUUUGGUUAAUUAGUUGACCAAACCCACUUUUAGGGCCGAUCCUGAUCUCGAACUUAAAUUGAAAAAUAUCAUCAUACAACAACUAGACAUGCUGCUAGUGAUGUUUCUGGGACUUGCUGUCAAAUGCCUUGCUCCGUUAGUCAGGAAGAUGAAUGAGCCUUGCACCGUUAGUCAUCAUGCCUAUUGAAAUGUUUCAGAUGACAAUGGAAGUUACACAGAUCCAAUUAAAUGCCCAAGCAGUGGAUGGUGCUGUGAGGAAACAAGCUGAAGAUAACUUGAAACAAUUCCAGAUACCAGCAGCAGCGAAGACACAAUGAUGGUACUGAAGAUGCUGGCCUUGUUGGUCAUAUAUUCAUCUAAAUGAGUUCAAAUUUUGGCGUUCCUCUGGUGGUCUAUUCCAAAGGAAAAACUAUCAAUGCGAAGGAGGUGCUAGCUGCUGGUCCUCGGCCUCAACCUAUAAUGGAAACAGUUUUAAUUACUCUGAUGCAUGUUGGAUUACAUAGUGAGAAGGUGGAGUUAGAGGCUGUUUUUAUGAUAUGCGUGGUUUCUGCUGUUGAUUCUUGUCAAUGAGAAUUGGUCUGCACUGUACUUGACGAUCUUUCUAAGGAGCUUCAGUAUAUGACUAGAACGAAGAUGCUUAUUUGCUCUAUUAUGAUCUCGGACAAUAACUUGAUUUUCAUGCUUUUGUUCCGUAUACAUGUUACUAAGUAUUGAGUGAGAUUUACUGCAAGCGAUUAGGGAAAGAGAGGGAGAGAUAAGGCGAGGACGACCGGAAAUGUCUUUGGUUUACAAUAGAGGCUAUUUGUGUGGAUGCGAGUUGGUGACUGCAGUUGGAAAGAGAGAAAUGUCCUGCUACCAUCAAAGGGUGAAAUACACUCUGUGGUGUGAGACAUUAGAGUGGCAAUUGGUGGAGAUGGUAGCUGCGUGUGAUGGUGUGUUCAGAUCUUAUUCUCGACGAAGGAGAUGGAAGAUAGAUGUGUUGCAGAUCUUGUGAUGGAGGGCUGCUGAUCUGGUUGUAGAUCUUGUGGAUGGCUGCCGAUCUGGUUGGAGAUCUUGUGAAAGAAGGAUGCGGUUAGAGAAGAGAAGAAGAGAUUGCGUGUUAUGAUGCAAUAAUUUUAGUUUCGUACUCUAUUUUGUUCGUUGAAUGUCUUCCAAGAAUGCAAUAAUUUUUGCUUUUGCUAGUGUUAUAUUUCUUGUCCUCGUCUAUAAGUUUUCACUUUUCACCUUUUUGUUCCUUUUUCCAUGUGUCCUGGACAUUUUUAUCAUGUACGGUGCAUAUACAACUACCAGCUCUAUCACGGAUUUUUCUAAGAUUUCUUUGGUUUAGCCUUGCUUUAGUUUUGUAACUUUCCUUUAUGUGUAUAUUUGCCCAAAAUAAUGAUUUUUAUCUUAUAUCUUCAGGUUUUUGUUGUUUUUUAUUGAUGUGUUGAUGAUGUUUACAUUUACAACUCUUUGUUAUGAUGGCAGAAAAGCACUCCAGGAAGAGAGUAAAAGCGAUUCAAAUUCGGUUAUUUUCAGAUUUUAUGUUAUUGUUGUCGGGAUUUAUGCCGAUGUCCAGUUUUUCAUUAGUUUCCUCAUGCAGAUUCCUGCAUUGUCAUCUUCUGACAAACCAAUGUGAUCGUUGGCCUCUCAUUCGCUUUGUGAAGUGGCCGCGCCAGGAACGACAUUAUGUUGGACGGGGAAUGUAUGAAAGGAGUUUCGAUUUCAUAAAGUAUAUGCUGUUUUGGCUAGUCAUUUUGAGUGCAAAAUUUUUAUUUGCUUACUUUCUUCAGGUACGUGACAUACUCAUAGUUGCCUCCAAAUUGGAAUUAUACUGUUAGAACUGGUAUCUAAAUUAAUUAAAUAUACUGAAUUUACUAGAAUAUUUUAGAUAAUAAAUCUUGAAGCACUGUUCCGAAGAGCAGUGAUUACAUAUAAUGCAGUAGCAGUUCUUCCUCUGGCCAAAACUGACAGAUUCAUUUUCUGACGUAACAAUUACAGAAGUUACACACAAAUGACAGGAAUUUGAGAGCCCGUCCUCUCCCUAACCAACCGGUUUAUACCAAAUAAUGCCUCAAUUAAAACAACAAACUACUAUUUAUAGAGUUACACACACACUAAUAAAAACAUAACUGACAUAAUUAAAAUAACUUCUCCUAAUAAUAUAAUAACUGCCAUUAAUUACAUAAUAAAUACGUAAUAAUAUUUACUAAUAAGUGGUCUAACGUAUGCAUCUGUUUGUUCUUGUGUGCCUAUAUGUGGGUGAGUGGAUAAUAUUGCUUGUACCUACUGUGCGUAUGCUUAUAUGCUUGUACACUUGAAUGUUUUAUUUUUGAGGUUUUCAGAUCAAGCCACUUGUGAAACCAACAAGGGACAUAAUAAAAGAGAAAAACUUAGUUUACUCUUGUCAUGAUUUUGUAUCUAAAAGUAAGCGGUGGUCUGUUUAAGUUUGUGGUUAUGUCUUUUUGUUUCCUGUUGAUGCUAUUGGCUACUAAAGUGCCUUUAUUUUUGCUGAUAAUCUCAAUGCUUUGACAAUUGUUAGCAUAUGGUCUCCAGUGGUUUUCGUAAGUGCAUCACUGUUUUGCCUUUUUACCCCCUUGUAUGCUUUAGUUCUACUUUUUUCGUUAAUGAUAGCUUUCUUCUCUCGUGGGGAUGAAAUUGUCUUUCAAGA